UAAGUGCAGAGUACACGAGCGGCGACGGGUGAGUAACGCGUGGGAAUCUACCCCAAACUGAGGGAUAAGCACCGGAAACGGUGUCUAAUACCGCAUAUGGUCUUCGGAUUAAAGCUUCGGCGGUUUGGGAAGAGCCCGCGUAAGAUUAGCUAGUUGGUGAGGUAAUGGCUCACCAAGGCGACGAUCUUUAACUGGUUUGAGAGGAUGAUCAGUCACACUGGAACUGAGACACGGUCCAGACUCCUACGGGAGGCAGCAGUAAGGAAUUUUCCACAAUGGGCGAAAGCCUGAUGGAGCAACGCCGCGUGCAGGAUGAAGGCCCUAGGGUUGUAAACUGCUUUUAUAUGUGACGAAUAUGACGGUAGCAUAUGAAUAAGGAUCGGCUAACCCCGUG
rnacentral:rRNA from 1 species